rnacentral:rRNA from 1 species
UACGUAGGGAGCAAGCGUUGUUCGGAUUUACUGGGCGUAAAGGGCGCGUAGGCGGCGUGUUAAGUCAGCUGUGAAAUCUCCAAGCUCAACUUGGAACGGCCAGCUGAUACUGAUGUGCUAGAGUGCAGAAGGGGCAAUCGGAAUUCUUGGUGUAGCGGUGAAAUGCGUAGAUAUCAAGAGGAACACCUGAGGUGAAGACGGGUUGCUGGGCUGACACUGACGCUGAGGCGCGAAAGCUAGGGUAGCAAACGGG